AUAUAAAUGUUUUGCGACAGACAUUGUGAAGAAGAAAGUGUCUGCCAUUGUUACUGAUGUUCCAACUGAAGUCUGGCAAGAUCCCUUUUGACUGUAUCUUGGGAAAGACUGAAAUUUUCUCCCUAUAGUCAGCAUUAUUAGAAGAUGUGACCACCACUGGAAAAGAUCUGAAAAGUCAACAUGGUCGGAAGAUGUUGAUACUUGUCUUGGAAGCUCCAGAGAGAAUGGAAAUGCGUCAGAAGAGUUAAUUCACAGAAGCAGUUUUUCCUUGUGAUGCUUGUAUUCAAGCAGGUAUCUCGGUAUCAUACUCACUGCCUUAGAGCCUCCAGCAUCCCACCAGCCAUCACCUGAAUACAGCUGGAAACCUUCUCACACCUCUGGAGUUUUCUCUCUACUCUGCUUUUGAAGCUGAAAUGGGAACCUUCUUUGCCAUCAUUUGGAUAAAAUUUGCUGUGGACCUGUGAAACUUGUUAAGAUCAUUGACCUUGAAGCAUGGGCAACCUUUAAAUGCUCUGUUCCCCUGUUCCAUGACAAUGAGUGUUACUGGCUGCAGUCUCCAGGAAGGAUCAUGUAAAUCACCAGGU